AGCUCUUCAAUCAACGUCCAGUGACAGCAGAUGGUAAUAGAUGCUGCCUAUGAUAUGUCAGUAUCCUGUCUUCUCCUGCCUCAGGCUUGAUAUUAUAUACAGCUCUUCAAUCAACGUCCAGUGACAGCAGAUG